rnacentral:lncRNA from 1 species
UUUUUUUUUUUUUCCUGUUUUUCAGAUUCAUCAGAUUUCUUCCCCUGCCCCCCAGCUGGGAAAAAAAAAAAAACACCUCCCAGACACACCUUUGCCCUGUUUCUAGAUGGGAUCCAGGUUGCUUUGAUAUAUAAUCUCCAGAGUCACUGGGUAAAUAACUUUGUGUCUGCCCAACCUGCAGGCCACUCCCUAGAACAGAACCAGGGAUUCUGUAGGGAGGGGCUGGGCAGGCCUAUGCCAGGGAACUCAUUCAUGUUGGGGCAGGGCAGAAGGCUGUCAGUCACAGCAGUCACGUGGGGAUGUGAGGGACCUCCUAGGCACAGGCAGAUUAUGCACACUGCAGUUUCUCGGCUGGAGGAAUCAGGAAUCCUACUCCUGUAGGGCCAUGCGGACAGACCGGCUAUUGCCUGUGUUGUUAGGAGGAGCGCAGGUGAUCACAGUGAGCUCUGCUUACCCAGGGCUUGGUUGAUCCCAUGAUGCUUUGAGAGGGCCACAAGGAAUCCAUAGAAAGUCAGCCUCUGGACAUUGCUCAGGAUCUCUUUGACAAGCGCUGGUGGUGGACAGCUAAAAGGGAGAAUUCGGAGGGCAGAUUUAAUCUAAGUGCUAUUUUUUCAUCCACACCUGCAGGACAUCAAAGCUGGGAGGCCCUGCAGGAGCAGGCCAUACUGCAGACAGAGGCCUCCCUGCAGGAGCAGGCCAUACUGCAGACAGAGGCCUCCCUGCAGGAGCAGGCCAUACUGCAGACAGAGGGCUGGUAUGCUUACUGCUGUUCAGCUGGUGGAAUUAGAGAUGGAACAUGUACUCUGCCACAUCCCAACCCAUAACUAUCUUUUGUACAGGGAACAUACAAGAGUGGGGAAGAGGACACUGCUACUGUCAGCUUCUUGCCUGGAGGCUGUGUCCCUCAAGGGCCUUUGUCCUAUACAGGACAGUUUAACCUUCCCUUUCUGUGAAUGUUUCUGUUUCAAAUAGCCAAAGCUAGUCUUCCCUUAGAAAACCAGAUACUUGAGCUAGUCUGUCCUCAGUGUGCUUUAGGCACACGUGGUUAUGUUUUAAAAUCAUGACCAUCCUGGGGCAUAGAAACCCUGAACCAAUCAAAAUAUUCUGCUAGAGACUUGUUCUCAGCAGCAACCUGAUCUCCAGGGCUGAGGUGGGGCCUCUGCCCAUGCCCACCUGUACUUGUGCCGGUCACACAGGUUUUCCAGGCGCUGAUAGAACAGUGAUGCUUCCACUCCAUCCAGCAUACCGGCAUCACCCAAGGCAGGUCGUUGGCGGUGUUGCCCACUGGAUGAUGUUGGGACAAUCACUGUAUUGGGGUUUUUCCCAGAUAGCAAGUCCUGAUAGAUGGCAGCCACACUCUCCAGGAAUUCUGGUACCAUCAGAAUAGGAAGGAACAGUUUAGGCAAGGAGGUUGUAUUUCAUCUCUUCACCAUGUCUUUGCUUCUUUGUGUCUCAGUCUGUCCAGCUUCAGUGUAGAUGACAAAAUACCUGGAGUGACUACUGCCCUCAUGACACUUCCUGGCCUAGAUAGGGACACCCUGAAGACUUGCAGAGCACCCUACUCAGUGACAGGUUUGCUAUGUACUUACUUAUCUGUUUCCUUGCUGGAAUGUAAGCUCCUUGAACAAUGGCGAGGGUCAUGACCCGAUGUUGUCUCCUGUCCCAGUGCCUAGUACUAUGCUGGGGCACGUUACAGGCUAUAAGGUUUUUUGUUUUUAAGAGAACACAUGGACAUUCUCACUGGCUAGCCCCACUUCAUGAGGCCAUCUGCUUCAUGAAAAUGUGCUGGAGGCUGCAGAGAGUAUCAUGUUACUGCCCAGGCUAGGCCUCUUUCAGUGUAAUCAAUAUAACUUGAAAGAAAAUAAAAAAUAUCAUUGAAGAGGGAAGAGCCUGAGCCUUACAAACUGCUAAUUUAUUAAUCACUGGAAGGUGAAUUUGUUUUCCCAGCUUUGUAGGCAGCUGCUGUUGGUAAGCAGUGACUUAUUGCCUGCUCUCAACUCAGAGCCCUGUAGGUUAGAGGUGGGGAAUGCGCCCAAACAUGGCUGCUCUUUUCCUAAGGUCUAAGGGCUUCAGAGAAAUGAGAUAUAGAUGCUGAUGUUGCUACGUGGUGUGGCCCCAGGUUUAGCCCCCAUCUGAACAGCCCUUGGGCUGCUAUCAAGUAAGCAUAAUGUGGCACCCGAGUGCAGCCAAAGCUGACUGCAGGACUGGUUAGCAAGAAGGUGAUCUCCACAGUCUAGAGAUAGCGUUCUUUAUGCCUUUCUUUAUAGAUGUAACAAUUUUUAAUUUGUACUCCCUCGCAUUUGAGGUGCAUACAUAUAUAUUUAUUCAUCUGUUUUUAUUCCAUUAAGUCAGAAGGGGCUUAAAGGUGCAACUGGAAUGAACUGGGGAGCAGAAUGGAAGUGUGAGAUAGCGUGUGUGUGUCUUUGAUUACAAUCAUGUACCAUUGUGUCUGGUUUACUGUGUGUUUAUUAAAAGAUAUGAGUAUGGU